rnacentral:rRNA from 1 species
AACGAACGCUGGCGGCAUGCCUAACACAUGCAAGUCGAACGAGACCUUCGGGUCUAGUGGCGCACGGGUGCGUAACGCGUGGGAACCUGCCCUUAGGUUCGGAAUAACUCCCCGAAAGGGGUGCUAAUACCGGAUAAUGUCUUCGGACCAAAGAUUUAUCGCCUUUGGAUGGGCCCGCGUUGGAUUAGCUAGUUGGUAGGGUAAAAGCCUACCAAGGCGACGAUCCAUAGCUGGUCUGAGAGGAUGAUCAGCCACACUGGGACUGAGACACGGCCCAGACGCCGCCGGAAGCGAGCAGGGUGAAAGAUUGAAAGAGGGGGGAAGGCCUACCCCAGCAUGGCCGGGGGAGUAGGAAGGCCCUUGGGGGUGUAAAGUUUUUUCCCCCGGGGUGAUAAGAACAUGCCCGGAAGAAGGAGCCCGGACUACCUCGGUC